rnacentral:misc_RNA from 1 species
GUUCAAUCAGAGAAUGAUUCUCAUUAUCCUGAAGGUGAAAAGAUAAAGAUUUUAAAGCUGUUUCAACUACAUGAGAACCAGAUCUGUCAGCUGCAAUAUGAGAGAAAUUCUUUGCACAGCUCUGAAGGAAAGUACAAAGGUGAUCCAAAGAACAGCCUUCAAGUAGGGUUUGCAAAGUAUGGCUUAUUAUAUAAUCAGUUGCAAGUUCUGCUUCUUUCCCUCUGGUUUCUUCCAAGGCAUUUCCACAAAUGACAGAUCGCUCCUCUGGGUCAAUUUCAGUACCUUCUAUGGCAUUAGCAAUCUCUGCAAAGUAUUUUGCAGUCUCAGGAUCAAUCUGCUUUCUGAGAAAUGAUGUCUGUGGGACAGGGGUUGUCUUUUUGUCCUUGUGAGGUCUAUCAUUGUCAUCGGCAUUCCCUCCAGACACACUUUCAACAGUAUAGUCAGUGUUAACUCCAGCAUGCUUUUUCGAAGUCUUUCGGCCCAUUGUUCUUUUCCUUACCCCCUGAUUAUUCGUUUGGUUCUCCCAAGCAGUUGGUUGCUCCGUCAAAUCACAGCCUCUAUGCUUUCUUGAAACUAAAGCAUGCAGACAGGAACAGCAAUGAGG